rnacentral:rRNA from 1 species
AGUGAACGCUGGCGGUAGGCCUAACACAUGCAAGUCGAACGGCAGCACAGUAAGAGCUUGCUCUUACGGGUGGCGAGUGGCGGACGGGUCAGGAAUACAUCGGAAUCUACUCUUUCGUGGGGGAUCACGUAGGGAAACUUACGCUAAUACCGCAUCCGACCUACGGGUGAAAGCAGGGGAUCUUCUGACCUUGCGCGAUUGAAUGAGCCGAUGUCGGAUUAGCUAGUUGGCGGGGUAAAGGCCCACCAUGGCGACGAUACGCAGCUGGUCUGAGAGGAUGGUCGGCCGCACUGGAACUGGGACACGGUCAAGAGGCCUACGAGAGGGAGCAGUGGGGAAUGUUGGGCAAUGGGCGGAAGCCUGAUCCAGUCAUACCGCGUGUGUGAAGAAGGCCUUCCGGUUGUAAAGCCCGUUUGUUGGGAAAGAAACGCAGCAGGUUAAUACCACGCUGUACUGACGGUACCCAAUGAAUAAGCACCGGCUAACUACGUG